rnacentral:rRNA from 2 species
AGACCCGAAACCCGGUGAUCUAGCCAUGGGCAGGUUGAAGGUUGGGUAACACUAACUGGAGGACCGAACCGACUAAUGUUGAAAAAUUAGCGGAUGACCUGUGGCUGGGGGUGAAAGGCCAAUCAAACCGGGAGAUAGCUGGUUCUCCCCGAAAGCUAUUUAGGUAGCGCCUCGUGAAUUCAUCUCCGGGGGUAGAGCACUGUUUCGGCUAGGGGGCCAUCCCGGCUUACCAACCCGAUGCAAACUGCGAAUACCGGAGAAUGUUAUCACGGGAGACACACGGCGGGUGCUAACGUCCGUCGUGAAGAGGGAAACAACCCAGACCGCCAGCUAAGGUCCCAAAGUCAUGGUUAAGUGGGAAACGAUGUGGGAAGGCCCAGACAGCCAGGAUGUUGGCUUAGAAGCAGCCAUCAUUUAAAGAAAGCGUAAUAGCUCACUGGUCGAGUCGGCCUGCGCGGAAGAUGUAACGGGGCUAAACCAUGCACCGAAGCUGCGGCAGCGACACUGUGUGUUGUUGGGUAGGGGAGCGUUCUGUAAGCCUGUGAAGGUGUGUCGUGAGGCAUGCUGGAGGUAUCAGAAGUGCGAAUGCUGACAUAAGUAACGAUAAAGCGGGUGAAAAGCCCGCUCGCCGGAAGACCAAGGGUUCCUGUCCAACGUUAAUCGGGGCAGGGUGAGUCGACCCCUAAGGCGAGGCCGAAAGGCGUAGUCGAUGGGAAACGGGUUAAUAUUCCCGUACUUGGUGUUACUGCGAAGGGGGGACGGAGAAGGCUAUGUUGGCCGGGCGACGGUUGUCCCGGUUUAAGCGUGUAGGUGUGUGUUCCAGGUAAAUCCGGUUCACUUUAACACUGAGGCGUGACGACGAGGCACUACGGUGCUGAAGCAACAAAUGCCCUGCUUCCAGGAAAAGCCUCUAAGCAUCAGGUAACAUCAAAUCGUACCCCAAACCGACACAGGUGGUCAGGUAGAGAAUACCAAGGCGCUUGAGAGAACUCGGGUGAAGGAACUAGGCAAAAUGGUGCCGUAACUUCGGGAGAAGGCACGCUGACACGUAGGUGAAGUGAUUUACUCAUGGAGCUGAAGUCAGUCGAAGAUACCAGCUGGCUGCAACUGUUUAUUAAAAACACAGCACUGUGCAAACACGAAAGUGGACGUAUACGGUGUGACGCCUGCCCGGUGCCGGAAGGUUAAUUGAUGGGGUCAGCGCAAGCGAAGCUCCUGAUCGAAGCCCCGGUAAACGGCGGCCGUAACUAUAACGGUCCUAAGGUAGCGAAAUUCCUUGUCGGGUAAGUUCCGACCUGCACGAAUGGCGUAAUGAUGGCCAGGCUGUCUCCACCCGAGACUCAGUGAAAUUGAACUCGCUGUGAAGAUGCAGUGUACCCGCGGCAAGACGGAAAGACCCCGUGAACCUUUACUAUAGCUUGACACUGAACAUUGAGCCUUGAUGUGUAGGAUAGGUGGGAGGCUUUGAAGUGUGGACGCCAGUCUGCAUGGAGCCGACCUUGAAAUACCACCCUUUAAUGUUUGAUGUUCUAACGUGGACCCGUUACCCGGGUUGCGGACAGUGUCUGGUGGGUAGUUUGACUGGGGCGGUCUCCUCCUAAAGAGUAACGGAGGAGCACGAAGGUUGGCUAAUCCUGGUCGGACAUCAGGAGGUUAGUGCAAUGGCAUAAGCCAGCUUGACUGCGAGCGUGACGGCGCGAGCAGGUGCGAAAGCAGGUCAUAGUGAUCCGGUGGUUCUGAAUGGAAGGGCCAUCGCUCAACGGAUAAAAGGUACUCCGGGGAUAACAGGCUGAUACCGCCCAAGAGUUCAUAUCGACGGCGGUGUUUGGCACCUCGAUGUCGGCUCAUCACAUCCUGGGGCUGAAGUAGGUCCCAAGGGUAUGGCUGUUCGCCAUUUAAAGUGGUACGCGAGCUGGGUUUAGAACGUCGUGAGACAGUUCGGUCCCUAUCUGCCGUGGGCGCUGGAGAACUGAGGGGGGCUGCUCCUAGUACGAGAGGACCGGAGUGGACGCAUCACUGGUGUUCGGGUUGUCAUGCCAAUGGCACUGCCCGGUAGCUAAAUGCGGAAGAGAUAAGUGCUGAAAGCAUCUAAGCACGAAACUUGCCCCGAGAUGAGUUCUCCCUGAGACUUAGAGUCUCCUGAAGGAACGUUGAAGACGACGACGUUGAUAGGCCGGGUGUGUAAGCGCAGCGAUGCGUUGAGCUAACCGGUACUAAUGAACCGUGAGGCUUAACCUUACAACGCCG